CAAAGCAUAGAAACACUUUCAGCACUGUCCUUUUUUUUAAAGGAUGUUAAGCUCUUAAACUGUAGCUGUGUUUUCAGGGUUUUAAGGUCCAACAAUCGCAAGGAGAUAUUUUUUUUAAACAUUUCAUAAGAUGCCUCAGUAAUCAAUCUUUGUUACUUACAUUAAUCAAUACUACCCUGCAGUCUCUCAAAUCAUGUUCCACUAAAGUUAAACUUAAAACCUCUCAAAUGCUGUUAAAUAUUGUGUUUGUGACGUGGUUAAUGAUCUGUUGAUUAAAAUGAGGUCACAGAGCUGAAUUCUAACUGCUGCUUCUUGUCCAUCUUAGUAGAUCUCCUGAGAUUAGGGUGUGAAGAAGUGAGAAGUGUGUGUGGUAUAGUGUGUGUGUGGGGAGGGCAAGGACCGCAUGGGUUGCUGUCAGCUUCUUGUGGUGCUAAUGACUGUCACAAGUCACAAGGAUGUGUGUGUGUACUAAUAUUGGUCCAGGGGGUCACUGCCAUCUUAUAAACACCAAAGGGAGCCUCAAGUUGCAAAGGUGAAAACAUGCUGCUUAUGUUACCAGCUUCUCUAUCAUCGACACCUUCUGGUCUUUUAACAGCUACAUCUCCAGCUCAUUCUGAGUGAAUGAUUGAACAGUAAGUUGAUUAUUCUAAAAUGAUUUUUAGUGGAAACUGUAAAAAUUUAAUUUACAAAUACAACCUCAUGUAUGUUUAGUGUUUACUUUGAUCCUACAGGGUCACAAGGGGCGUGUUUGAAUCUUUCCCACCACCCCUUGGGGAGAUGACAGGGAAGCACCCAGGGGAGUCUCUCAGAGCCCAUUUAAAAUAUGCGCACAGGAAGUGGAAAAAGAAGAAGACAACAAAGAAGAAAAAAAGAGACCUGAGUGAGAGCAACCACAAAAACAUGAAAAUAUAAAUUCAAUCAAGUUUGAAAGAUUUGAGGAAUUACACUGUCUGAAACUGUUUCAUAAUAUUUUUCUCUCAUUUAUUUAAAGACUUUCAAAUAUUACACGACAAGUAAAAGCUCAUCAUGAUUAAUGGUACAUACAAUCAGUCUCAAUGAAUCAUUCACCUGACCUUUAUUUGCACUGGUUUAGUUAACUCACACGUGAACAUGCUCUUUGGUUUCCUUUGUUUUGUUUUGAAGUUUGCAAAGUAGCAUCAUGAUCCCAAAGUAGCAUC